UGGGCUAUAGCGCAGUGGCAGAGCACUUGCCUAGUAUGCAGGAGGCCUUGGGCACAACCCCCAGUAUUUCAA
rnacentral:tRNA from 1 species